UGGAAUGGUUUUGAAAUUUGGCUUGAUUAAAUAGGUAAAAUGCUAAGUAUAUUAAAGAUGAAGUAAUAGUUAUUUCGGUUUAUGUGAUGUAAACAUAGGUGAUGGUUUUAAUCUUUUUUUUUGUGGUUCGGCAAUAGUGAGUAAAUCAUGUAGUUAAUUGUUUAGUUAUAUGUUAGCAUUGAAAUUGGUUGUAUAUAAGUAUUUUUG
rnacentral:lncRNA from 1 species